GGUACUAAGGUUGACCUUAACAUCAUUUUUUACACCCAAAUCAAUGGAUAGUCAAAGCAAACUCUUUAGUCCUUGGAGGAUAUACUCAUGUGUGUGUUAUGGACUUUGGGGGUCAAAAGGAGCAUCAUUUAUCUAUUAAUAGCUACUAUUUAAGGCAUUUCAUGGUAGGCAUUGUCAAUCUCCGAUUGGUUUGUUUAAGAUUUUCGAGUUUAGACCUCAUGUACCAACUCUGCUUUGUUGUCUUUAGAAAGGAUUCAUAUGAUUCAAGACAGGCUAUGGGCAGGUAAGAGUAGGCAUAAGAGUUAUGUUCAUUGUAGGCUUCUUGCUCUAAAGUUUGAAUUUGGUUAUUGUAUUUUCCUUUGAGUAUCAUUGUCACGAUUCGAGAAUACCCCUAAGUCAUAACACGGUGCUUAGAGUCAA
rnacentral:lncRNA from 1 species